rnacentral:piRNA from 1 species
UGACACUGGUGUGGAUGGACUGCAUGUA